rnacentral:rRNA from 1 species
AAUGAACGUUGGCGGCGUGGAUUAGGCAUGCAAGUCGAGCGAGAAACUUGUUUUCGGAUGAGUGGACAGCGGCGAAAGGGAGAGUAACGCGUAGAAAUGUACCCUGGGGCUCGGAAUAGCGGAGAGAAAUUUCCGGUAAUGCCGAAUAAUGUCUUCGGACCAAAGGUUUACCACCUUGGGAGCAGUCUGCGUUCUAUUAGCUUGUUGGUGGGGUAAUGGCUUACCAAGGCAAAGAUGGAUACCGGGCGUGAGAGCGUGACCCGGCUCACUGGGACUGAGACACUGCCCAGACACCUACGGGUGGCUGCAGUCGAGAAUCUUCCGCAAUGGACGAAAGUCUGACGGAGCGACGCCGCGUGCUGGAUGAAGGCCUUCGGGUUGUAAACAGCUGUCAUAGGGGAGGAAAUUUUGACCGAUCCUAAGAGGAAGCACAGGCUAAGUUCG